rnacentral:sRNA from 1 species
AACCUCUGGGGCGAGAAGAUGUUUGACUACGACCGCAAGAUGGCGCCUGGAAUCACCAGCUACUCGUUGCCCCUACCCACUCACUAUCUCUAUAGUGGGUGCCAAUUCUGGCGUUUUCCAUCUCCGACAUCAUGUUUAAAAUUCAGACAGUAGAUAUUCUAAUAAUUGAAUGCUAGCUAUCAAGAUCUUAUAUUUAAGAAUAAUUCGUGUGCGGCGAGCGGCUCCUCAGUGGCUUGGCACAGCAUUGGAACGGCCCGAGAUCAGCCAAUUGUCCGAAUAUUUUUGGUCUGGCGAGAUCCACCAAAAUCUUCAUCGAGAUCUUGAGAUUCAUCCCUGAUCAGUUUGAGGCCGAAAUACUCGUUUGGAUCCACGCAACUUCGAUGCUUUGUUUGAAGCGCUUUGUUCAGAAAGCCUACUGACAUUGGUAGGGAAUCCUUAUGGC